GUAGAGAUGUGGAGGAACACCGAUGGCGAAGGCAGCCCCCUGGGAUGACACUGACGCUCAUGUACGAAAGCGUGGGUAGCAAACAGGAUUAGAUACCCUGGUAGUCCACGCCCUAAACGAUGUCAACUGGUUGUUGGGGGAGUGAAAUCCCUUAGUAACGAAGCUAACGCGUGAAGUUGACCGCCUGGGGAGUACGGUCGCAAGAUUAAAACUCAAAGGAAUUGACGGGGACCCGCACAAGCGGUGGAUGAUGUGGAUUAAUUCGAUGCAACGCGAGAAACCUUACCUACCCUUGACAUGUCCGGAAUCCUGCUGAGAGGUGGGAGUGCCCGAAAGGGAAUCGGAACACAGGUGCUGCAUGGCUGUCGUCAGCUCGUGUCGUGAGAUGUUGGGUUAAGUCCCGCAACGAGCGCAACCCUUAUCAUUAGUUGCUACGCAAGGGCACUCUAAUGAGACUGCCGGUGACAAACCGGAGGAAGGUGGGGAUGACGUCAAGUCCUCAUGGCCCUUAUGGGUAGGGCUUCACACGUCAUACAAUGGUCGGUACAGAGGGUUGCCAAGCCGCGAGGCGGAGCCAAUCCCAGAAAGCCGAUCGUAGUCCAGAUUGUUCUCUGCAACUCGAGAGCAUGAAGUCGGAAUCGCUAGUAAUCGCGGAUCAGCAUGUCGCGGUGAAUACGUUCCCGGGUCUUGUACACACCGCCCGUCACACCAUGGGAGUGGAAUCUGGCAGAAGUAGGUAGCCUAACCGCAAGG
rnacentral:rRNA from 1 species